UCCCUCCUGACCUGGUGGUUAGGAUUCUGCAUUUUCAGUGCUGCGGCCCAGGCCCCAUCCCUGGUUGAACACAGGGAA
rnacentral:tRNA from 1 species